AUGGGGAAGCGGGUGUUGGGUUGGCAGAGCCUGCACUGGCGAAGAAGACGGACGAGGACUGGCAGCCCCGGAGCUACCUCGCCGCCGCGUCCAGUUCUACCCCGCCUCCUGCAAGCACGGCGACUUCUUCGACAUCGUCUAGGCAGGCCAUGUCCUAACCACACCCAAUCUCUUCAGUGGCAUUUCAAGUGUGACCCAUUGGAGCAAGAGAAGGCAGAUGGUGUUUUGGAGGAGAACUUGACUAGGAAAGUGAAACAGAUGCUACAUGAGGAAAAUGUGGCAGCCAUCAAAAGAUUAAUGAAGAAGGGACAAUUGCCUGCACAACUAACAGAAGUGGAUGAGAAUGGUAACCGUUGGCCAACUAAGGAAGCUUUAAUUUCUGCAAAGAAAAUUGACUUUGGUACCGAUGUUCGUUGGCGUCUACUAGUCAUUGGCUGA
rnacentral:rRNA from 1 species